UACGUAGGGUGCGAGCGUUAAUCGGAAUUACUGGGCGUAAGGCGUGCGCAGGCGGUUUUGUAAGCCAGAUGUGAAAUCCCCGGGCUCAACCUGGGAAUGGCAUUUGGGACUACAAGGCUAGAGUGUGUCAGAGGGAGGUAGAAUUCCACGUGUAGCAGUGAAAUGCGUAGGGAUGUGGAGGAAUACCGAUGGCGAAGGCAGCCUCCUGGGAUAACACUGACGCUCAUGCACGAAAGCGUGGGGAGCAAACAGG
rnacentral:rRNA from 1 species